GAGGGCCCUGACACCCGACUCCUAACGAUCCAAAUCCCGGGGUCGCUCAGAGCCACGGAGAAAUCGGGCAGAAGCCAAAGGAAGGAAGUGGGCGGGGUCGGCUCCCCGACAGCUUCCUACCGGAGGUCGAGGUCGAAGGGAAAAACAAAUGCCUUCGGAGGAACCAGCUCCUCUCCCUGAGCCCCUGUGCCCCGUGGUCUCUGGUCUCGGCGCCCCCACCCGACGCCUCCGCGUCUCGAUCUCAACUCUCCCAUUCUCACUUCCUCCCUGGUUAUGCUCAGAAAGCAUCUGUGCAAAGGAUGAUUAAACAAGUGAAUGGAGAAUGGGGAAAGACAGGGAAUAUGCCUGCUUCCCAGGCGCCCUCCAGGUCCUGCCCCCAAACAAGUGCAUCCAGGAAUGACCCUGGUACACUGAGCUCACUGGCGGUCCCGACCUACCGGGAGCCUCCCAGCUGGAAGAUCUUCACACAGCACCACCCAGACUUGGAGGUCCUGGCAAGCCUGGAGUGCUCAAGGAAUGCCUUUUGGAUCUAGCCUUGCUUGGCUCAGAAGCUGGCAGGCAGAACCAGGAGACCCCAGAACCCUGAACAGAAGCAGAAGUUCCCUGAGCCCCCAGGGAAAUGUCACCUGAGGAGGUCAGGGGCUCGGAAUCCUGAGAGCUAAAUGAAUGAAGAGCUGAAGGUUUUUCCCACCUGGACCCGAGUCUUUCAAAGCAGAGCCUGUGAUAUGCCAUCUCUCUCCUGUGCUCAACAAAGACCACAUGUGCUGAACAGAAGCUUGUUUGAAAGACUAACCUCUGGGCCAGCAAACUGUUUUUCUUUAAAGGGAAAUAAAAGCUGAAAAACAGGAUUUCCAGAAACAAAAUACUUUCCUUCACUCAGAACGGGGAUUCAAGCUUAGUCAGGAUGGAAUCCAAAUAUGGAAAAAAUAUGGCUGAAGAGUGAUUCAGAGAUGCACAUUUCACAAAAUUCACUUUCCUAGAUUGUCACUAGUAUUUUUGGUUCUUUUCCAAGAGGAAAGCUGCUUCCUGUUAGUACCCAUUUGGAUACUGCAAGUUAAAAGUCAGGGCUCAUACCCAUCAGGAUGGCUACUAUCAUAAAAACAGAAAACAACAAGUGCUGACAACGAUGUGGAGAAGUUGGAACCCUUGUACACUGCUAGUGGCAAUGUAAAUUGGUACAGCCGCUAUGGAGAAUAGUAUGGGGGUUCUAAAAAAUUAAACAUGGAAUUAUAUGAUCAAUCAACUCCACCUCUGGAUAUACACACAAAAGAUUUGAAAGCAGGUUCUCAAAGAGAUAUUUAAACCCAUGUUCAUAGGAGCAUUAUUCACAAUAGCCAAAAGGUGGAAGCAGCCCAAGUAUCCAUCUACAGAUGAUGGAUAAGCAAGAUGUGGUCCAUACAUACAAUGGAAUAUUACUCAACAUGAAAAAAACCUGUUACAUGCCACAGUAUGGAUGAACUGGGAGGACACUGGGCUAAGUCAGUCUAGAGUAGUCAAAAUCAUAGGGACAGAGGGUAGAAUGGUGGUUGCCAGGAGCUAGGAGUGGUGGUGGGUGGGGAGUUACUCUUUAAUUGGGACAGAGUUUCAGUUUUGCAAGAUGAAGAGUUCUGGAGAUGGAUGGUGGUGAUGGUUGCACAACAAUAUGAAUAUACUUAAUAUCACCAAAAUGGCUAAGAUGGUAAAUAUAACAUGUUUUACCACACUUUAAAAAGUUGGAAAGAAAGUCAGGGCUGAAAAAUGGGCUUCCUUUGUUUGGAAAAAGGGCACUUUGAGUAUAUUCUUAGCUUACUUAGAAAACCACACUCUACAAAUCCUUUAGGGAUUUGCUAAUAUUUUUUCAAAAUCAGAAGGAAAUCCCCUUUGUGCUCAUGCUAGUGAGCUGAGAUUAACUCAAAGUGAAAGCAUAAAGGCCCGGUCAUGUAUGUUUCCUGGACAAUUCCAGAAUAUUUGGUUCUUCUUUAGAAAAACAACAAACGAGGGUGGAUGAAACAGGUCCAACAGGUAACACACAGCAUGUGUGCUGAACAAGGGGAAGGGUGGAACAAAGGAGCUGUUUGUGGAUGCAGAGGGAUGGUUGGACUAACAAGGACCCACUCACAAUCCCCUGAACAUCCUAGAGGCAAAGGGUACCCUGCCUUCAGGCCCUCUGAGGCCCCCAAAUGCAGAUAAACCCUGAGUGGCUUCCCAGCCGGCUUGUUGAGCUGGUGCCAGGGCCAGGCAUUUGUGCCUCUGUGUGUCCCUGAGACAGAGAGUGAUCCCCCUGCCUGCUUGCUCUCCGUGCUGGUCCUUUAAACCCAAUGCAGGCAGGCUGAUGCCGAGAGCCGGAGGCAGGAGACAGGAACGCUUGGGAGCCACCACCCCGAGAAUCACCUCCUGCUCCUACAGGAUCUUACUGUGGCCCUCUAAUGCCCUUUAAGUGUCAAGCUCUCCAAGGCCCUCCUUGCCGCCCUUUUCAUGCUCCAGUGGUGAAUUUACCGAAACCCUCAGUCAUUUCUGGAUGUUCAGGCUGCCCUGAGCCUGUAAUCCCCACGGAGUUCCACACCCAGGGACCAGAUGCCACCUGGAUGCCCCCAGUCAUACCCAACUUCACCAGCCACACCUCCAGGUGGUCUGGCCUUUGUCACUAGGUCUCCUGAGGCAGAGCCCUGGGAGUGGGCUGCCUCUCUGCAGGCUGGCCUCAAGCACCCACCUGGCACCUUCCCAGCAUGGCCCCCCCAAGGUCCCCCUGUGCCCAGCCUGGCCAUUCCUGGGAUGAAAGUCUGUGUCCAUUCUGCCCCGCUCCUGGGGCUGUUGCCACCCUGAUUCACACCUUCUUGGGCCACAGUCCUUAGAGAUGCCCUCGGCUCCACACGCCUCUCUCCAGGCUCCUUUCUCAGCCGGGCCCCUAUGGCCACAUCCUACUCACUCUUGCUCUGGCUGUGGGGACCCCUGCCCUCUAGCUGUCCUCUCUUCCAGCGCCCCCAGGAGGCGACAUGACCCAGCCUCCCCAGCAAUCGGAAGGGACCUGUGCACUUCCAAGGCAGGGCCCCACGCUGCCGGGGGCCAUUCCACCAAUGUCGAUGCCCCUUGACAAAGUCGGGGCAAAGUGGCCGUGCGGAUUGCAAAGCAGUCGUCACUCUGGAAAAUACUGGCAUUUCCUUCUGUUGUUCAUAGUGCCUAUAGUUGGAUUGGGGAUAUCUUUGGGAUACAUGGGCUUUUUGAAAAUUGUACAGGGUGAUUCUCAAUCUGGGGAAAUAAUAGGGGCUAUGAUGAUGACUGUGCAGGGCAAUCCAAACAAUGGAAAUUUCAAUGAAAGUACUUGGGAACAAAUCAAAAGAUCAGGGCC